rnacentral:rRNA from 1 species
GACGAACGCUGGCGGCGUGCCUAAUACAUGCAAGUAGAACGCUGAAGAGAGGAGCUUGCUCUUCUUGGAUGAGUUGCGAACGGGUGAGUAACGCGUAGGUAACCUGCCUUGUAGCGGGGGAUAACUAUUGGAAACGAUAGCUAAUACCGCAUAACAAUGGAUGACACAUGUCAUUUAUUUGAAAGGGGCAAUUGCUCCACUACAAGAUGGACCUGCGUUGUAUUAGCUAGUAGGUGAGGUAAUGGCUCACCUAGGCGACGAUACAUAGCCGACCUGAGAGGGUGAUCGGCCACACUGGGACUGAGACACGGCCCAGACUCCUACGGGAGGCAGCAGUAGGGAAUCUUCGGCAAUGGGGGCAACCCUGACCGAGCAACGCCGCGUGAGUGAAGAAGGGUUUCGGAUCGUAAAGCUCUGUUGUAAGUCAAGAACGGGUGUGAGAGUGGAAAGUUCACACUGUGACGGUAGCUUACCAGAAAGGGACGGCUAACUACGUGC